rnacentral:rRNA from 1 species
CACCGCGGUUAUACGAGGGGCCCGAGUUGAUAGUUGCCGGCGUAAAGAGUGGUUAGGGAAUCCUUUAACUAAAGCCGAACCCCUCCUAGGCUGUUAUACGCACCUGGAGGAGUGAAGCUCUACCCUACGAAAGUGGCUUUACCCCCCCCCCCCGAACCCACGACAACUAUGACA